AAGAUGAAAUAUUUUUUCUUCUAUUUGUUGUAAAUGAAAAAAUAUAUUUUUUUUUUAUAGACCUGCAAAUUUUUUAAUUGUACUAUUAUGAUGAAGCGACUGAACUUAGCUGCACAGCCCCCUAGCCAAAGCGCCUAUUUAUCUUGUCCCUUCUCCUCCCCUCUGUCCUCGUGCACUCCCUUCCCUCUGCUCUGCUCUGCUCUCUGUCCCUGUGUGCGCACGUUAGCCCCGCCGCCGCCGGAGAAGUGCGCACAUUAGCCCGGCAGGGACGAGACUGAGCGGCCCCCCCGCUUCUUCCGCAAAGCCGCCGCCN
rnacentral:lncRNA from 1 species